GACGAACGCUGGCGGCGUGCUUAACACAUGCAAGUCGAACGGAAAGGCCCUGCUUUUGUGGGGUGCUCGAGUGGCGAACGGGUGAGUAACACGUGAGUAACCUGCCCUUGACUUUGGGAUAACUUCAGGAAACUGGGGCUAAUACCGGAUAGGAGCUCCUGCUGCAUGGUGGGGGUUGGAAAGUUUCGGCGGUUGGGGAUGGACUCGCGGCUUAUCAGCUUGUUGGUGGGGUAGUGGCUUACCAAGGCUUUAACGGGUCGCCGGCCUGAGAGGGUGACCGGCCACAUUGGGACUGAGAUACGGCCCAGACUCCUACGGGAGGCAGCAGUGGGGAAUAUUGCACAAUGGGCGGAAGCCUGAUGCAGCAACGCCGCGUGCGGGAUGACGGCCUUCGGGUUGUAAACCGCUUUCGCCUGUGACGAAGCGUGAGUGACGGUAAUGGGUAAAGAAGCACCGGCUAACUACGUG
rnacentral:rRNA from 1 species